rnacentral:lncRNA from 1 species
UCCCUUCCAAAUCUCCUUCAGGCUAUUGUAUUCCCUGACACCUAUGAACCCCUUCCUAAUCCCGAGAUGGACCAUUACGAGGAGAAGGAGAAAGAGUGGAAGGCCCAGCAUGAAAGGAAUUUACUAGAUAUGAAGGAGGAGAUCAUGAGGAUCAAAGAGUCUCAUGGAGCCAAGGACCACGACGGUUUGGGGUAUGACAUUUAUGUGUUCACC